rnacentral:rRNA from 1 species
GCGGAGGAGGGGAAGAGGAGCACGUAAGUGUGUGGCCUACUAACCUACACACCAUUGACCAACCACUGAUCAAACCAAACUCUGAAGCUUUGACUGCCGUUAACCGGUGGUUUUAACCAAGAACAACUCUCAACAACGGAUAUCUUGGCUCUCGCAACGAUGAAGAACGCAGCGACCGUAUUAUUAGCGGAGGAGGGGAGUAAAGUCGUAACAAGGUAACCGCAUAUCAAGGAAAUGCGAUACGUAGUGUGAAUUGCAGAAUUCCGUGAACCAUCGAAUCUUUGAACGCAUAUUGCGCUCGACUCCUCGGAGAAGAGCAUGUCUGCCUCAGCGUCGGUUUACACCCUCACCCCUCUUCCCUACCAGGAAGCGUCUAUUGUGCUUGCUCAAGCCGAUAGCAGGGGUGGAUCUGGCUCUCCCAAUCGGAUUCACUUUCGAUUGGGUUGGCUGAAGCACAGAGGCUUAAACUGGGACCCGAUUCGGGCUCAACUGGAUAGGUAGCAACACCCUCGGGUGCCUACACGAAGUUGUGUCUGAGGACCUGGUUAGGAGCCAAGCAGGAAACGCGUUUCUAACGCGUACUCUGUAUUCGACCUGAGCUCAGGCAAGGCUACCCGCUGAACUUAAGCAUAUCAAUAGGCCGGAGGAACGUCCGUGGUCCGUGAGACCAGGGUCGGAGGAUUAAAAUCCUCCCCUCUCUAACCACGACCUCAGAUCGGGCAAGAUUACCCGCUGAACUUAAGCAUAUCAAUAAGCGGAGGAAA